rnacentral:tRNA from 1 species
GGUGGCUCAGUGGUAGAACGCUUGCCUUUCAUGCAUGAGGUCCUGGGUUCGAUUCCUCAGCACCA